rnacentral:tRNA from 1 species
ACGGCUGUGUUGUAGUGGUAGCAAACCACCCUCCCACGGUGGAAGCCCGGGUUCAAAUCCCGGCAGCCGUA